rnacentral:pre_miRNA from 1 species
CAACUACUCUUUCCGUUUGGAAUUAUUUGUCGCAGAAAUGGAUGUAUCUAGAUGUAUUUUAGUUCUAGAUACAUCCAUAACUGAGACAAAUAAUUUCGAAUGGAGGGAGUAUUAC